AGUGAACGCUGGCGGUAGGCCUAACACAUGCAAGUCGAACGGCAGCACAGUAAGAGCUUGCUCUUAUGGGUGGCGAGUGGCGGACGGGUGAGGAAUACAUCGGAAUCUACUUUUUCGUGGGGGAUAACGUAGGGAAACUUACGCUAAUACCGCAUACGACCUACGGGUGAAAGCAGGGGAUCUUCGGACCUUGCGCGAUUGAAUGAGCCGAUGUCGGAUUAGCUAGUUGGCGGGGUAAAGGCCCACCAAGGCGACGAUCCGUAGCUGGUCUGAGAGGAUGAUCAGCCACACUGGAACUGAGACACGGUCCAGACUCCUACGGGAGGCAGCAGUGGGGAAUAUUGGACAAUGGGCGCAAGCCUGAUCCAGCCAUACCGCGUGGGUGAAGAAGGCCUUCGGGUUGUAAAGCCCCUUUGUUGGGAAAGAAAAGCAGCAGGUUAAUACCCCGCUGUUCUGACGGUACCCAAAGAAUAAGCACCGGCUAACUUCGUG
rnacentral:rRNA from 1 species